rnacentral:rRNA from 1 species
UAGUCAUAUGCUUGUCCUAAAGAUUAAGCCAUGCAUGUGUACGUUCAAGCCCUUGUACGGUGAAACUGCGGAUGGCUCAUUAUAUCAGUGAUAAUUUGGUUGGUGGAGCCUUAUCGUGGAUAACCGUGGUAAUUCCAGAGCUAAUACAUGCAGAGUAGACGCAAGUCUAGCAUUUAUUAGAUAAAGCCUUGGCAUGGGCACAUUUUUGUGCCUUUGCGUGGUGAGUAAUGAUAACUGAGCGGAUCGCACGGUGUGCGACGCACCAAGGAAAUUUCUGCCCUAUCAACUGUGGAUGGUAGGAUAGGGGCCUACCAUGGUGGCGACGGGUGACGGGGAAUCAGGGUUCGAUUCCGGAGAGGGAGCCUGAGAGAUGGCUACCACUUCCAAGGAAGGCAGCAGGCGCGCAAAUUACCCAAUCCCGAAGCGGGGAGGUAGUGACAGGACAUGACGGGGCGGGGCGCUACGCGCUCUGCGACUGGGUUGAGGAAAAGAUAAAGCGAUUGACGAGAAACGAUU